GAUGAACGCUGGCGGCGUGCCUAAUACAUGCAAGUCGGGCGAACGGACGAGAAGCUUGCUUCUCUGAUGUUAGCGGCGGACGGGUGAGUAACACGUGGAUAACCUACCUAUAAGACUGGGAUAACUUCGGGAAACCGUAGCUAAUACCGGAUAAUAUUUUGAACCGCAUGGUUCAAAAGUGAAAGACGGUCUUGCUGUCACUUAUAGAUGGAUCCGCGCUGCAUUAGCUAGUUGGUAAGGUAACGGCUUACCAAGGCAACGAUGCAUAGCCGACCUGAGAGGGUGAUCGGCCACACUGGAACUGAGACACGGUCCAGACUCCUACGGGAGGCGGCAGUAGGGAAUCUUCCGCAAUGGGCGAAAGCCUGACGGAGCAACGCCGCGUGAGUGAUGAAGGUCUUCGGAUCGUAAAACUCUGUUAUUAGGGAAGAACAUAUGUGUAAGUAACUGUGCACAUCUUGACGGUACCUAAUCAGAAAGCCACGGCUAACUACGUG
rnacentral:rRNA from 1 species